rnacentral:rRNA from 1 species
GACGAACCGUGCGAACGUUAUUCGGAAUCACUGGGCUUAAAGCGCGUGUAGGCGGGCGGGCACGUCGGUACCUGAAAGCCCCCGGCUCAACCGGGGAAGCGGGGCCGAUACGACCGGCCUGGAGGGACGUAGGGGGACCUGGAACUUCCGGUGGAGCGGUGAAAUGCGUUGAGAUCGGAAGGAACGCCCGUGGCGAAAGCGAGGUCCUGGACGUCUGCUGACGCUGAGACGCGAAAGCUAGGGGAGCGAACGGG